rnacentral:lncRNA from 1 species
GUGAUCCACCAGCCUCGGCCUCACAAAGUGCUGGGAUUACAGGUAUGAGCCACCACGCCCAGCCUGCAAACAUAUGUUGAACUCUUUGCACAGUGCCCUGCAUGAGAUAGAUGACAGCUCCUUCUUCCAUGUUGUUAAUUUGGUGUGAGUAUAUGUUAUAUGUAUGUAUAUGCAAGAUAAUAAUCUUCUUGUAACCACUGACAGGCCUUUUUGUGAAUGAUGAUGGAAAAAGCAAGAACCUUGUCCAGGUUCCUCUCCAGGGAGCAGGGGUGGGUUGUGAUUCUUGAUUUCAUUCCUUUAGAUAUGAAGAGUUUUCACACAGAGGCAGCACGAAUUUGUCUCUCUCCUAGAGGGUGGGGAGAGUUGCUGGGUGGAUAUAACUGCAUCACAGCCUUUCUGGGUAAACUGGCCACUCCCUACUGAUUUGUUAUCAUGCUAAAUGUGUCUCCUCCCUUCCUUUCUGGAGCUUUUGCAGCUGUUCCUGGAAGGAGACCCAGUUGAAAGGGGUUGUUAUGGACCAGGAACAGCUGGGAUCUUUAAUGAUCUGUGAGCAGCUUACAGCAAAGUUCCAACACCCUGAGUAUCAGUCCCCAAAUCCUUGGUCUUUGCAUUCCAACACAAAGUAAAAAGGAUUGAGCAGGGUUUUGGUUUUGGUUGCAAGUAACAGAAACCCAACGCUAAUUAAUAAACGGGAAAGUGUGUCAGUGGAAAUGUAAGUAAGAAGAGAUUUCAUUUACUGGCCAAUUCAAAAGAUGACAAGCUUUAGGCGUGGCUCAGUCCAGUGGCUCAUGAUGUCUUCAGGACUCAGUGUUUCUCUGUUGUCAUCUCUUAGUUCUAUUAUUUUUUCUGUGUUGGUUCAUUAUGAGGUUUCCUUUAGAGGGUGGCAGAGAAAGCCACUAGUUGCUUCAAGUCUUUAUUUUACCAGCUCCACAAGUCCGACGGAAAGAGAAAACUGCUUUCCCAAAGGGUGUAAGAGGAUGAAAGGCAUGUCAUCAGCUGAAUUGCAUCAGGUGUCCAUCUUGGAAUCAAUCACGGUGCCUCUUAUUAGCAAAGCCUGAGUCAUAGGUGAGUCUAUACUUGGAUGGGGUAGUAAGGAAAUCCCAUGUUGAUUGCAUGGAUGGAAAGUGGGGGUGUUGUGGUUUCAUAAUGGCUUAUUAGGGUUCAAUAAUCAGAACACCAAAUAAUCCAUGCUGGGAGGUAAAAAUUGCAGAUAUUUUACUUUAUGCCCCAAACUAGACUUCAAAUCUGUGCUGCUCUUCCAAUCAUGAAUCCGCAGAACAGAGGAUAGAAAGUUCAGGUCAAUUCAAAUUUGACAAACACUUUCCGAGCACUUACUAUGUGCCAAUAUCCGUGGGAGGCCCUGGGAAACCAAAGAUGAAUGAAACACAAACUCUGAUGUCAGAGACCUCACAGUCUGGUGUUUAAGACGAUAAUAGUCUGGAUUAGAUUCUGGUGUGAUGAGAUGGAUUGUCUCAUAAAAAACAGAGGGAAGGGAUUAUUUAACUCUGAUGGGUGGCUGGGUGCUGAGAAGACCCUCAGAGGGUGUAACCUUUGAGUCUUAAGGAGGAUUAAGUUUAAAGGGGAUUUUGUUGGAGGAUAAGCAUCAAGGAAAGCAUUCCAGGAAGAGAGACGGGCAUAUGCAAAGGUAUAGUGUUGUGACCUCUGAUUAAAUAUGGAUGAGACAGGACAGGGAAAAACACACUUGUUAGAUUGUGGCAAAUGCCCAUGUGAAGUGAUUAAGUGACUGAAAUUGGGCAGAGGUGGUGUGCUGGUAGAUUCUAAGGUGACCCCAGUGAUCCAUGCCUUGUAAAAUCUUCUCCCCUGUGAGUGCUCCUUGGUGAGCAGGUGAUGUUAUAUUGGGAGAUUGACUAUAAGAAGGGGAGACUAUCUGUGUGGUCCUGGCCUAAUGACAUGAAUCCUUUAAGAGCAGAGCUUUCUCCAGCUGGUAGAAAAAGGGGAAGUAUGAGACUUAAAGGUGGAGGUGGCCCCAUGGAAAAGACCUAAGGGUAGCCUGCGGGAACUGAGAGAAAACCCCAACUGGCAGCCAGCAAGAAAACAGGGACCUUAAUCUUACGACCACAAGGAACUGGACUCUGCUACCAGAAUGAGCUGCAAGGGAGAUUCUUCCUCAGAAGCUUCAGAUAAGAACUCCACCUGGCUGACCUUUGAUUUUGGUUUUGUGAGAACUUUGGCAGAUAACCCAGGCAUGUGUCAUUUCACAUCUGCAUAAAAAGACAUGCUGAAGGAUGUUCCUUGCAGAAUGGUUAUAGAGAAAAAUGGGAAUAACCACGAUAUAAAGUAACAGGAUUUCAACAGUGAAGGAGACCUGAGAAACCAUAAAAUCAAUCUCUCAAAUUGAAGUUGAAAAAAGCAAAUCAUCUCUCACACCCACCCUGAUUGGUAAUAAUUAACUUGGCAAUACUUCAGUUACUCUUUCAUUAAGCAGUUCUCCUAGAUAUCGAAUUUAUGUUAGUUUAUUUAUUGGAUUCAUCCUAAGCAUUCAAGGUACUUUUGAAGGAUAUGAGGCAAACUGUUAGCAUCAUUUAACAUUUAUUGAAUUGUAGCAUCCACAUAACUUAGAGCAGACACAAGACUUAAUGAGAAAAGCAAGACAUUAUUCCUGUUUUAUAGAGAGUAACCAAGGCCAACAGGUAGAAAGAAGACUUGCCCAAAGUCAGACAGAAAAUGUUGAGAGGAGAUUAGGACCCACUUAGGUUAUUUUUGGUAGAUUGCUCUUUUCACUUAUACAUAGCUGAGUUUGCCAGGAAUAAAGAAAAUAUACUGAACAUGAACAGUUAAUUGAGAUGCUUAAGCGUAAACACAUGGAGGGGUGGUAGGUAAGCGCUUGUGUUGACUCAGCCAUCAUUCUGUUUGUGUGUGCCAAUCAGUCUCUGCCAGUUGGUAUCAGUCAUUAUCCAAUGAGAGAAAUGAGAGCUAGGAAAAGGGGAGUGAGCCCCGAUUAUCUUUUAUAAGUAUAUAAAUUGAUGGCUAUGGUAGGAUUUUUCUCAAUGUGGAAACUCGAAGUUCUGUGCCUAAGUUUUAUUUCAAGAAACAUUUUGUUUGUGUCAAUAGAUCCAGAGCCAAUGGGUUCAUUUAAAACUCUCUUUCAUGAUGGCAAUGAAUAAAAGAGGAUCCUAGACCAUCAGAAGAUUUUAGCCUUGGAGCUCCCCACCGUCCUAACACACACAGAUAGAGCUGGCUCCGAACUCUGCUGCUUCCAUGGUCGUGGCUACCUACUACUCUGUUCCUACUUCAUCUUCACUGUGAUUUUUGUCCAUAUGUCAGACUGAAGCAGACUGCUUAGGGCCUUGGGUUGAGGGAGCUUAUAGAACCUUGGGAACCAGGAACCCUUUAGGACCCUGUGAACUACAAGUCUGCUAUUUUAGGAAGUGGAUAAAAUGGCAUUUUGACAGAUCUGGAGGGUCUUGGAUCUACCUUUCAACAUUGGCAUUACUGAUAUUAGAGUACCACCACUCACUAGCUGUGGAGAUGUAGGAAGAUUACUUAACCACUCAGAGCCUUGGUUUCCUCAUUUGUUAUGUGAAGAUGACAAUAUCAGAUGACAGUGAGAUCUGAGAUGAAUUUAACUGCCUUCAGUAGUGCUGGCCUGCUCCUGAGAGAGAGAUGAUUGAGAGGGAGGAAGUAGAGAGGAGGAAGAAGCCUUUACUCACACUCCUUGAGGAGUGAUUCAGGUGGACAGCCUGAAUUACGGGAUUUAUUGGCAGCAAGUAAGUAUUGUCUGAGUGGAUUACUGCAAAAUGCUUUAGCUGGGGAUGGCUUUGAAAACCACUCAUCAAUUACAGAUGGUACCCAGUAUAGCAGCAGGAGUACCCUUGCGGGCUUUUGUUAUCUCCGACCUCUUCCUUCAUGGGUGACCGUUCUAACCCAAAGACCUCAACUGUUCAUCAAAAACCUGCCACUCAGAACUGCAUAUCAAUUAUUAAACAAUGUCCCAUGCAGGACAGUGACUUUAAAUUAUCUUGGAAAUGAUAAAGACCAACAUUUGUCUUUGUUAACAUGCUGAGUGAUUCUGUGGUCUCUAGUCACAGGUGAAAGGAUCAGAUUUGAGAUUUCUAGACACCAGAAUCACAUUAGGGUUAAGCAAAACUCCAUCUUUUCCCAGAGAAAAUUUAGCCAGAAAUGUUGCUUAUUUGAGAUGAGAAGUAAGAUGAAGUGUUCUAACAUGGCGGAGCUUGAUAUGCAAAUGAGCCCAUCUAGGGACAGUAGGGAUUGGUAAUGUGGGUCUGUGGAUGCCUGGAAGGCUCACAGAAAGACUUCAGGAAUUCCUGAGUCUCUUCAAAGUGUAAGCAAAAUUUUGUGUGUAUUUUCUUAUUUGCAUGAUAUGGCUUGGCUGUGUCCCCACCCAAACCUUAUCUCGAAUUGUAACUCCCACAAUUCCCACAUGUCGUGGAAGGAUCCUGGUGGGAUUCAUUAUGGGGGCAGGUCUUUCCAGUGCUGUUCUCAUGAUAGUGAAUGAGUCUCACAAUAUCUGAUGGUUUUAAA